AGCGGUGCGGGUGCCCCAGCACGUGCGAGCACACGUGCGAGCGCACCUGCCGCACACCUGCGCUGCGGGCCGACGCCAUGUUUAACCUGCGCCACCGCGGCGGCGGGCCGCUGCCGGAGCUGGGAAGACAAAGAGGACUGUGUUUAGCAACCGGUUUUCACUCGACUUCUUCGUUGCAACCUCUUAUCAUAAUGAGCGGUCAGCAGAGCAGAACUGGUCUAGACAGAAGAUAAAGGUCUCUGGGAAAUGCAGCUAUCCUAUGUUGAUCAUGUGCUGAGACCUGCCCUUCCGAUUACAGUUAAACUACUUUUAUAAGCAGAAACUUGUGAAGAUGAUGGAAAAAAUGUUCACAGCAGUUGCAGGCCACCAUCAUUACUUCUGGCAACUAAGCUGAGGUGCCAGUGUGCCAAGGGAGAGUAAAGCAUUCAACUGGUCGCACCCAGGAAAAAGGUA